ACUUCUUCAGGCAAUAAAGCAAGCCAAUUUUCAUUCGCAGCAGGCCAUCUAGAAUCGAAAACAAAUUUGGCAACAGAACCAUCUUCACUGGUGUAUGGGAACGGAAGGUUCUGCCAUGCAUCCUCUGCUAAGUGAGGCAAUAUAGGCGCUAUAACCCUCACAAGGGAAAGCAGAUGCUCUGCAAGAACUGUCUGAAAACUUCUCCUUGUAAAAUUAACCACUUAGAAAGAAAGACAUUUAUAGUCCAAAGUCAAAAGUAAUAUGCAACCUUCAAAACCUAGGCAUAUGGUAUAAAUGAAAUUGCUGAACUUCACAUUGCCAAAAGCGUGAUAUCCUUGCAUAUGAAUCAAACUAAAAUAAGCACCGUUAUACAGUAUCGUGGAAGGAAUCAGAAAUACAUUGGGCUAAGUGCUGAAAUCUUUCUUACAGAAAAAAAAGAGGAGGUUACCCAACAUAAAGUCGAUCCUUGGCAACAUCAAAAUAAAAGUUUGAUAGGUCGACAGUUAUAAACCGCUGUAUGAUCUGAGAAAUGGAAAAUCAAAGACGUUAAAUCAACGAUAAAAAAUGUUGACACAGCACAAAGGAUGAUUUGACAUCCUUAGGCAUUUAUUACUCAUUCUACUAAAGAUUUUAUGCUUGAUCAAUAUCAAAGGCAUAUCAAACUAAUUAAAAAAAAAAUGCAUCACUAAGAAGUUUAAGCAAAAGAAAAUAUCAUUAAGAAUCUAAAGUAGAUCCCUGAUGACAUAACUCCAAUAUAAGAGUGGCUCAAUAAGAAAGAAACCUGGAAAAUUUUGAAGAACUGAUAAUUGUCAUAACUCUCUUUAAUGUUCUUCACAACAUUUUCAAGCUGAUAUAAUGCAUGCCGGUCAAUCAUUGGAAGUUCAUGGUAAGAAACAGCAUCUUCAGCCUGGCAAUGACACGAUUCAGCUUGAGAAAAUAGAACCAACUUAAAGGAGGAGAUAAAUGCUCUUUGAAUGAGCAUCCUAUCCCGAAAUGAUGAUAUACUAGAUAUUAGAUAACAUACCAAGAUUGAGAUAUACCUUCCAAUCAUGCAGAUUCCCUAAGAGGUAUCUCAAUGUCCCCCGCAACUUUCUAUAAAUGUCAGACAUUUGGCGGAGAAUCUGAGGACCAAUCAUCACAUCUCCUGUGUAAUCUACACUAGAAACCCACAACCGCAGAACAUCUGCUCCAUAUCCAGGUGCUUCCUGCCAACAGAAAAUAAAACUCUUAGCUCAACAAAAAAUAACAGGCAUAUCCAGGAAAAGACUUUGGAGACAAACCUUUUGGUUUUUCCCUCCUUCAAUCACAGUGUACGGGUCUACAACGUUACCCAAAGAUUUGCUCAUCUUCAAACCUCUCUCAUCAAGCACAAACCCAUGAGUUAGGACACUGUUGUAUGGAGCCCUUCCUGUACAUGCAGAAGAAAGUAAUUCACACAGGCCUAAUGUCCUUGACAGAAUUCAAUAGAGGGUAAUCAGCGUGAACUAGUAGCACAAAAAGGUCAUCUAACUUCUCGACAGAAGUACAUAUAUUUCGUAAUUGAAUGCAUCGUAAUUGAAUGCAUAUAGAAGCCAAGUUAAAAGAAAAUUAAAGAACACUCCAAGAACAAAAGUGCAUCUUCAUUACCUUUCGUAGCAAUACUUGUCAGGAAGGAACUUUGAAACCAGCCACGAUGCUGAUCUGUACCUUCAAGGUACAAGUCUGCAGGGAAGUUAAGGCCCGCCCUUUUCCCCAGUACAGCAGCCCAUGAAGAGCCUGAAAAGGAUACAAGGGAUAAAGCAUCACCAUUUGCUCAUGCGGAGAAGUAUUCUACAAUGAGUGUAGCAAUUUUAAGUUGAAGAUAAAGCACGAAAAAGGUUACUGGUUGAGUGCUUCUCUUAAAAAUAAGAGACAUCCAUGAAUGCUUAGGGACACGUGGAAGAAUCAGUUCAACCACUACACUAUACUUAGCCAAAUAAUACUUCAGAAGCUUCUAAGAGCUACCACAGUUUGAUCAGAAUUUUCCAGAUAUGACCUCUAUUACUUCACCCUAUAUAUAAACAACCAACUCUAGUCCAACCCAAAGAGACCAUUACACUUUUUAUGGAAGUAUUGUCUACUGUUUUAACUCACCCAUCUCACUCUGCCACUAACAUGAAUGAGGUACCAUCACCAACGUUUUCUAACUAAUAAUCAUCUAGCAGAGGACAUCAGAACAACAAUGUUGGUAUAUCAAAAUUGCUGAAGGUUCCUCAAUGGAAAACACAUGUUUAGCCUCCAAUAACAAAGGUUAAAGUGGAUAAUCACUUCAUGAAUCAACCAAAAGUUGAAUCCUCCCAUUUCUACCUCAAUGCACUCUGAUUAGCAACAAAGUAAAUAAAAAAGAAAUGUCACAAGCAAAAUACCCGAGUCAAACCAGACAUCCAUUGUAUCAGUGCCCUUUUCAUAGUCCGAUGCUUUAUCACGAUAUCUUUCUGGAAGUAGAUCCUCUACUUUAAUAUACCACCAUGCGUCGCUACCCCUUUGGGCUAUUAUGCCUGCAAUCACACUUCGUCUCGUUAACCAACAUUUAGAAAGACAGAAAUGCAUUGGCAGUAGGAAUGUAAACCUUCAGUCUUGGCAUAAAAAGUGGAAGGUUAAUACAUAGUACACAAUAGUAAUAAAAAGAUCAGGCAUAAACAUAUAAAGAAAGAGAGCAAUCGAUGUUGUCACUUUCAUAGUUUCUUACAUUUAAUAUGAUUAAUAGUCUCUUCAUUCAUUAGAGGCUCCUUGGUUUGUUUAUGAUAAAAGACUGAAAUGGGUACACCCCAUGUCCUUUGCCGAGAAAUGCACCAAUCCGAGCGGCUAGAAGUCAUUGCCGAAAUUCUGUUCUCAGCCUGACAGAGUACCAGUCAAAGGAUAAAAAGUUCGCACUGCAGAAGUUCAUCUUAUUUCAAAGCGAUACAGAAUAAUCACGCAGAAAGAACCCUCUACGAUCGCUACCUGAGGUGGAAUCCACUUGACAUGCCCAAUCGCAUCCAUAGCAGCCUGACGAAACCCUUCCACAGAAGCAAACCACUGCUCAGUUGCCCUAAAUAUAGUAGGCUUUUUUGUUCACCGAUCAUAUGGAUACUUGUGUUCUGCACAAGAGAAAAAGGCAAUAUGCGAAUUAAAAGUGUCCUUCGCAAACUUGUAACAGGAAAGUUUCCAGAUUAGAAUGAUAAAUCACCGUAUUGGGAGAAGGAACAUCACUUACGAUAUGAUUCUUCCAUGAGAAUGGAUAACUGUCCAUCCAAGUGGUUCACAACAGCAGUAUUACCAUCCCCAAGUACGUCAAGUCCACUAAACUGUCCAGCUUCUUCAGUGAACUUCCCAUCAUCACCUACAGGGGAAAGAGUAGGAAGUCCAUAUUUUAUGCCAGUGACAUAGGGGCUGCAUGGUAAUGUUUCUGCUCCUUUUCUGUUCCCGGGAACAGAAACAAAAAAAAAAAGUGUUUCUGUUCUGAGGAACAAUUUUUGAACAAAAAAAUGCGUUUGAUAACGUUUGUUCCGGGAAUAAAAAAUGAAUAGAAACACGUUUGGUAAAUUUUAUUCUUUUUUGUUUCUUUUAAUUUUUUAAACAUUUUUAUUUUAUUUUUCAGUUUUUCCUUUCUUCUUUAUUUUUUCUUUUUUCGGCCGGUCACCGGCCUCCGACGACCAGCCGACGGGGCCGGCAGCCUCGCCCAGCCAUGACGAGGCUCGCCGGCCCCCGGCGAGGCCAAGCCUCGCCGUGGUUGGGCGAGGCUCUGCGUCGCCGGCCCUCGACGGCCGGUCGCCGGCCAUGGCCGAGGCCGGCGACCGGCCAAAGAAAAAAGAAGAAAAAAAGAAGAAGAAAAGAGAAGAGAGAGAAGAAACGUUUCUUCAAAAUUGUUUCUGGAACGAGAAGCAAUUUUUUUGUGUUUCUUUUUUUUGUUCCAAUUUUGUUGCGGGAACAAAAAAACAAAAAAAGAACAGAAACGCAACCAAACGCGUUUCUAUUCUUUUUUUGUGCCCUGGAACAAAAAAAGUACAAAAGUGUUCCAGAAACACUUUUUUGGAGCGUUUCCAUGCAGGGCCAUAAUCUUCUUGACCAUGACCCGGAGCUGUAUGGACCAGUCUAGUUCCAGAUUCUGUUGUGAUAUAAUCUCCUCCAAUGACAACUGGGCACUCCCUCUUAUCUAUGGGAUGGAUAUACCUGUAUCCACAUCAAGAUAUACUGUGUUAACAUCCCCUUUAGUAGAGUCCUUAUGCAGAAGUGCUCGUGUGGGACAAUCCACUUUGACUUGUUUUCAUAGUUUACAUAUUUGUGUUACCUCUUCUUUCUGCCAUGUAUAUGUUAGUGCAUUUUCUAAUGAUACGUAAACAAGGUAUUUAUGGUCUUUUAUAGAGAAUAUAGAUCGUAGAGAUUAUAAUCAAUCGUUUAUAACUUGAGAAGGAAUAAUAGUAUUGCAUUGCUACAAAUGUGGGUAAUAGAAAAGAAUAAGACCUGCAUUUGGAUAUUCAAGAAUCUACCAAAUAAACAAUUGGAGACACUCAAUAGAUUAUGUUCCAAUAUCUAAGAUACUAAUCCUUAAAAUUCAUUACCUAAAUGUGAAGCUGAAAUGAUUGGCACUUUCUUGGAUUUCAAAAAUUUAUAAUACAAAGAUGAACAAUAUCCAAUUCAAGACAUCAUCAUUCAACAACCUGCAGUUUUCAAGAUCAGAACCCAAAAGAACUUUCUUCACGGAAAGCUUCACACCCCAUUUCACUUCUAAUGCUGGCACAAGAUCCGAUGCCACAACAAGAAAAGGCCUCUUCUCUCCCUUCAUAACCUUUGCAAGUCUGCAUCUUUUAUCUUCCUUAGGUACAGCAGUAUCCCUUAGAGGGGAAUGUGCUUCAACUAUAGCAUAUUGAAGUUUACCAUUCACAGCAACCGCUGCAAACAACAAGCAUUCAGCAUGUUCACCAACCAAUGCAGAAAUGGCAUAAAACCAAGGGAACUAUUGAUGGCAGAAGAAGUUGACUUUUAUUUGAUAUUUGCAGGAUAAGAGAGCCAGAACAAUUUGAGAACUUACAGUCAAAAUGGUGAAGCAAAUCAUCGAGUUUUGCAUUAAACCAACCAUCAUAAAGAAUGAUAAAAGUGAUCCUGAGAGUAGUAGGUCAUCACAAAUCCACUUGACACUGUAUUCAAUGCUGUCUGAACAGAUCAAAUUACUAAGACCCGUAUGUAGCCCCCCCCCCCCCAAUAGUUUGUCAUACUAUCGUGUGUUGGUCAGGAAGGUUGAUAUAAGUCGGACGAAAUCACAUGAACAUAUCAUUGAGAUAUUAACAUAUAGCCAACGAGCCCAAAGAUGAAGGUUCAAUGAUUGAUAGCAAGUCAAGAAGCUUCCACAAGAGCUGAACCACACCUAUUGAAAGAUCUCAAAAAAAGGAAAAAAAAAAAAAACCCUCGUCGUCCCUUGCGAGGCUUCCUCUCAACUAGGUUGAGCUUUUCCCUAUCCUAUGGUGAUAGUAUCCCAAAAUCCCUUUCAACCCAAGCAUAAACCCUUACUAUGUUCACUCAUGGAUGCGUAUCUUCACCUCCCUCCAUAUUAGAGUCAUAUUCUCCUCUUCCUUUACUUCAACGAGUACCCAUGGGAAGCAUUAUCGAUGGGUUUUGCUGCGAAACCCUAGAUCUUCAGGAUUCUGCUCCCCUAGCAUGGAUUUUGUAUAUUUGAAGCUCGGCCCUCUUCACAAGGUAAGAUCAAAGCCUUCCUGCAGAAUCAGUACACCUGGUCUCCCAUUGCUCAACUGGAUUAUUCUUGAGAUCACAGAGUUUGUACUCUCCCUUGGUGCCUUGUUGAAUCUUGGGUUUUAUGUCAAUCGCACUCCAUUAGUUUGUAAGCAACCCCAAAGCUCCCUUCAUUCUAAGGCAAAAAGUACCGUUUAGUGUUACGGAAUCGGGAUAUGGCAGAAAACAAGGAAAAUCACCUUCGUUUAGCAGCUCUAUGUCGUAGAAUGGGCGACCUAUGGUCUGAUGAAGACUUCACGGAUCUCGGCGAUGACCUUCCAUAAGCAGCAAAAAAAAACAAAGUGAGCUAACCCUAUAUGGCAAGCUCUAUUCGAGACCAAAUGUCAAUUUUCAGGCCUUCAGUACUACUAUGAAACAGGCCUAGAAAACCGACUCUGUCCAAUGCGAACAAAUUGAACCAAGUUUCUUCUCCUUUACCUUUCAAUCUAAGGAAGAGAAAAAAAUGGUACUAAAAUCUGGACCAAGGUCUUUCUCAAGCAACCUCUUAGUCCUAAAAGAAGAUGAUCCAAACAUACCUGAGCACUGUUAUGAAUUUACGCAUUAUGCAUUUUGGGUCCACAUCAUAGGUCUGCCCCGAGCCAGGAUCAAUGAAGAUGCCAUACACCUCUUAGUCACCAAACUGGGAGAAGUAGAGGAGAUAAAAAUUGAGGCAAGAAGUCUAAAUUCUGCAAAAAAAUGGGAAAGCCAAAGUGUUACUAAACCUGUCUAGCCCACUAAAAAUAGGCAAUGUCAUCUCCUGUGGGGGGAAACAAUGGUGGAUUGAUUAUAAAUAUGAAAGGCUUCCCCAUUACUGUUAUUCUUGUGGUCGAAUAGGACACUAUGCAACUACAUGUUGUAAAAUACCUUUUGAAGAAACUGGCUUACCUCACGAUCAACCAAGCCGUUAUAGAUCCUGGUUAAAGGUAGAAGUGAAGGAAAAUAGCCCCUACUGGAAAACCUUUUAUGGUGACCUUGAUCUUUUGGAAUUGGAUGACGAGGUUGUCAUGGAGACAUAGACAGAGGUUCUGGAAACACCAGCCGCAACAACAAUGGUAGAAUCAUACGCUCUGGCAAUUGUCCUUGCUCAACCUAAAAAAAUAGAACACCUGAGCUUAAAUAGAAGUCAUACCUCAGAAGAACAACAGACCCUCUUCCUCUGUCCAGCUAGUAGUGAGCUGCCUUCAAAGAAUGUAAAGAAAGGAAAUGCAAUCUACAAAGCUCCUGCAGCAAAGAAACAAAAAAGGGUCAGUCCCUAUGAAAAGAAAAUGACACAAGAGCAUGUGUUGGAUGAAACUCUAUUGUUGGAUAUCCCGGUCCAGUCCUAGCAAGGGGUAAGCACAAGGGCUUUGGUGGCUGGCCCCAGAAAGCCACCUCAGCAAAGAUGAAACUUCUUAGUUGGAACUGUCAAGGGCUGGGCAACCCCUUGACAAUCCAGCACUUUAGAGCCCUUGUGGCUCAAGAAUGGCCCAACCUAGUGUUCAUCAUGGAAACAAAAAAUCAGAACCAUGUCGUGGAGCGAGUAAGGAAAAAGACUCUUUUAAAGCAUUCCUAUAUUAUUGAACCAGUUGGCAUAGCUGGAGGUUUAGCACUGAUGUGGGACGAAGAGAUCCAAGUGGAAGUAGAAAGGAGUUACAAGGAUCUCGUUAAUAUUAAAUAUAAAGAUGUUCAAAGUGGCAGCUUAAUGUGUAUUUCCUUUUUGCAUACACCCACAAAUUUCCAAGAGUGACUCAAAUUUUGGCACCUAGUGAAAGACAGCAACUCCUCUAACCCGUCACCAUGGCUAUUAUUGGGGAUUUUAAUGAAAUAUUUUACCAUUGGAAAAGGUUUGAUGCAAGGAGGUGGACCGAUAUCGCAUUGCAGCCUUCCGGGACUUCUUAGAUGACUGCUCUCUGAUGGAUGUUGAAAGCAAGGGCUGUGCCUUCACCUAGUCAAAUAAAAGAGAAUGGACUGCAUUAAUUAAAAAGAGGUUUGUCACGACCCGAUCUCACCGCCCCUCGAAAUGUCCAAGGAGGGGAAAAGUUGGGUUUAUGGGUACUUUGAUCACGAGAGUUUCCUCACGAGAUCACCAGCUCUCCCAAGCUCGUACCUCGCAUGAUGGCAGAUUUAUUUAUACGAUCUAGGUAUUUAACAACCUAAAAAAUAUACAGGAGUCGCCACUAACCUCAUUUUGGGGGUCGGCUAGAAACCCAAUCGAGGGUCGAGAGUGUUCCCUCAAUUCCUACGUAACCAGAUAUCUAGGUUCGAGGACUUGGGUUACGCUAAUAUUGCUAUUAGCGCCCUUUCGGUACAUAAAUAGUAUGUUGUGUUUUUCCUAACAUGUCCAUGCAUUUCUUUUUUAUAUUUUCAGGAUCGUUAAUUCUAUACUAAAUGAUCAUGUGUGGUGGAUGACUUUCAUUCUAUUCUAUUCCUAAAAAAUGAAAGGAAAACAAUCAAUGAAAAUUAAAUUGCAAGACAUGAAGUAAACAAUCAAGAAAAAGCAGUUAAACCUAAUCAUGUAAUUCUAAAAAUAUAAAAGAGAAAACAAUUGAGAAAGAAAAGAAACCCGCAACUCGUCGGGUUUUAUACAAUGCAUGGAACCCGAGACAUAUGUCAGGGAAAACAAAUAGUACAUGACAACGGUCGGAAUGGACAUCGACCUCCACCAUCUUUACACCAAGGUCCAUCUUUGGGGCCCUAAUCUAAACCUAAUCUAAGAAAUCUAGAUGACUAGAUGCAUACAAAUGAAAGAAACAAUCAUCACGUAUCAAAACAAUCAAAAGCAAGACAUUUUUUUUAUGCUCACAAAUGGUGACUAAAGUCACGAAGUCCCUAAGUCAAGUUCUAUGCGGCAUCCCAAAGGCACUUACAUUAUCCUACAUCGCACGUAAGUCAUUUAUCUAACAAUCAUAUGCGAAGCAUAUUAAUUGACAUGCAUUUAGGCCAUAUGAUCUUGAUUCUUAAUCAAUCCAAACCAAUGAGUGAACCAACUAAGGAUCACUUAUUCAAACACAUGCACCAUUGAAUUUGCUCAACACAUGUAUUCAAGGGGAAUGAAGCAGUCAAUAUGUAACCCACAUGAUACCUAAAACUGUUUUAUAGACAAUUGACAAAGGACAUCAUUUUAAAAGAUUUAAUGAAAAGGGAGAUAUCAAUUCAUCAAGUCAGGGAAUGUAUUUAGUCAUCAAGGCAAGCUUAGGUGCAUUAUGGGCAUAACUGAUCAAGCUUCAAAGACGUUCUAAACAUGUUUCAAACCUCAGAUAGCAUUGAUGUCAAGCCAAAAGCAUGAUUUAGAAAUUUGGAAAUACAACAUGAAAACUUGGAAAUUUUAUGCAUCACGAACCAGAUCAUUUAGUAAGUGACAUUGGGAUGUAAGAACACGACAUUUCAUAGACACUGAAACAUAAGAGAACAUAAACCUUUGAAAGCAAAGGGAAACAAUACAUGGCAGCAAAAUCUUGCGAACAGAUAAAAUCCCACCCAGGUUAUAUGGUAGCAAAGGAAAUUUGCUUCUUUGUACUGCAAAAAGCUUUGCUAUCUAACAUCAGUUAACACAGCAAAUGCACACAUGAACAACAAACAUCAAAUGCACGAUUGAACAAUUCCACAUAUUAGGGCAUAUGAACAGCAAGCAUGCACAGAACAGACCUAAUCUACAACAUAACAAAUUGGUACGAACACAACAAUUUUCCAGAAUUACUCCCUAACUUUUAAAGAAGAUUUCAUGUGGCUAAUGAUAUUGAAUCGGGGUGUGUUAUAGCUCGUUGGAAAGCUAGUCGAACCAUCUUCAACUCUCAUGAAGGCAUCAAAUACAGAAAACCAAACCAGCUCAUAUCAGGUCAUUUGUACAAAAGGUCAUCCAAAACAGAGAACCAAUCAGAACAGCAAAAUUUCAAACAAAGUCAGGGAUAUUCUAGACAUAUUUAACCUGGGUAAAUGAUCUUUAAUUAUCACAAAAUUUGUAUUUGAUAUAGAUUGGAACCUAAUGAAUAACUUUCAUUUAAGCAUCAACUUUAGAAUCUAAUCACAAAAAAUCAUGUGAAAAUGGCAAACAACACAGGUCACUAAAGUAGAGCAUGAAAACAGAACACUUAAUCAUUUACAAAUUGUAGCUCCGUUUGUAACAAUUGUCGAAUCUAGUAAAUGAUGACCAAAUCCAAGAGCUCACGGCAUCCAUUUGCAACAAAAUCUAUCCAGACAUACCCUUGCAACACGUUUUCUGCACUCCUUUGCCUUAUGUUUCUACAUUGUGAAUGUCACGCCCCGAACCCCGAGCGCGUGCACAUCCCACUACGGUCGAUCAAAAAUGCGACAUCCCAGGAAAUGUCGCCGACCCAUUAAUUUCUUUACGCAUGCGGAAGCGAAACAAAUCCCCUGACAACAUUUAACUUGGGAUAGAAAAGCAGGCAAUCAAUCGCAAUACCAAACACCCAUUUACAAACACAAAGGGUUUAAAUACAACACUGGACUUUCUACAAAAUAGACCAGCUCGACGAAAUGGGAACUAUCCUACAACCAACUAGCAGGACAUGCUCUCCAACCCUUAUGACUUCACCUCUGCAACUCCUCAAGGCCAACCAAAGCUAUCUGGCCACUCCGUCCACCAGGGACCUGAAAUUUUAAUCCCACAACCGGGAUGAGACGAUGUCUCAGCAAGUUCGACCCCCUAAACCCCUAUUAGAAAGAAAAUACGCCCCGGGUGGCAUAGCCACAUCACACAGAAGACUUACCUCGCCUCAGCCUUUAUCUGCAGGUUAGCACAAUUUAUAUAAACCAACCACGUGCAAUUAUGAUAACCAAACAACCAUGGCACAAUCACAUUAUCAAACCGUUCAACCACUUGGAUCGUCUCAGCGAUCAAUCGACUCGGCCGAUUACAUGUCAUUCUAGCAAAUCAAUCAUUGCUCUCAACUACGGCCCUACUCGGCAAAUUUAAAUCAGUGGCAUCACGGCCCCACUCGGCACGACCUGUAAUCAGGUGGUAAUUCACGGCCUCAUCGGGCACGACCUCUUGUAGGUGGUUUUUCACGGCCUCAUCGGGCACGACCUUUCCAAGGUGGUUUAUCACGGCCUCUCUGGGCACGACCUCUCAUAGGUGGUUUAUCACGGCCUCUCUGGGCACGACCUUUCAUAGGUGGUUUAUCACGGCCUCUCUGGGCACGACCUCUCAUAGGUGGUUUAUCACGACCUCUCUGGGCACGACCUCUCAUAGGUGGUUUAUCACGGCCUCUCUGGGCACGACCUCUAAUAGGUGGUAUUUCACGGCCUCAUCGGGCACGACCUCUUGUAGGUGGUUUUUCACGGCCUCAUCGGGCACGACCUUUCCAAGGUGGUAUUUCACGGCCUCACUGGGCACGACCUCUAAUAGGUGGUCAAUCACAGCCAAUCUCCCAUCAAUUUAUACACUUAGGAUUUCAUAAAGAAUCCCUAUAAAUCACAAUCACACUCAAUUCAUCACAACCAAUCAUCAAUUUCAAAUUCUAAAUGCACAGCAACGAUCGGCACGAAAUUCUGAGCAAAUAAGGUCCCAAUGAAGAUUUUCAGAAUUUAAUAAAUAAUUAAAUUUAUUCCGAAAAUAAUUAAAUAAUAAUAUCCACAGUUUUCAAAAUCCACACUCAAUUUAUAAUAUCCAAUCAUCAAUUUCAAAAUCCGAAUGUACCGUAGCGACCGGCACGAAAUUAUGAGCAACCGGGGUCAAAAAUAAUUUUUCUGAUUUUUUUUUAAAAUAAUAAUGUUUUACUAAUUUCGGAUUAUAAUAUAAUAUAAUAUUUUCCAGAAUUUCGAAGCACUUAAAUAAUUCAAAACUAAAAUCAUUUUGUGUCACAUCAAUGCUUAACUUUAAAUAAACUCUCUUAGCAUUUAAUUAAACAUACUUUAGAUUAAACAAACAUCUUAAUCUAAAUCAUAAUUAAAUCAACUAAAUUAACCAGCUAAGCUUAAUCAACUUAAGCUAAGCACACCUAAAGCAUAAUUAACCCUCUAAGCGAGGUUUAGUGAGCUAAACUCACCGGAUUAGCGAGCCGAGCGAACCAAAACGACGAGGACGACGCGAGGAUCGACUUUCCUCAAAGCGGGCCGAGCAUCCGGGCUCGGGAAGGCGGCCAAAACGGGCCAAGAAGGGGCUGCCAUACCCAUUUUCUGCAGCUGCUGUCCAUGGCGGUUUGAGGCCGAGAAUGGGCGGAUCCGGCGCCGGUUGAGACGGCCAAGGGCGGCGGAGGCAAGGCGAAGCUCCGGCGGGCUAAGGCGGGGCGCACGGUGGCCGGAGGUGAGCUGGACGGCUCCGGCUGAGCUUCCCCAGAUCUGGAGUCGCUGUUGGACUCACGGAACAACAGGGACGAGCAGACGCACGGUUGCUGGCUUCGCUUGCUUGCGACGGCGACUUCGGCCGCUCCGGGGACAAGACGAUGGACGGCGACGGACGAGGCUUCUCUGGUUCGCUGCUGGGUCCUUCGAGCAACAAGGAGGUGGGGGAGAAAGGCAGCGACGGGAAAAGGGAGACGGGAGACGGAGGCGUGCGGGUUGAACGAGCGACGGCCUCCGGCUUCGGUGAGCGACGACGGCGGCGAGAAGCGGCGUCGAGCGGGCGAAGGGGCGUGCGGGUUGCUGGCCACGCACGAGCAGCUCCCUUCCUUCCCCUUUCUUUCUCCCUCUCUCUUUCUUCCCAAGGUUGAAGAUGAAGUGGUGGGACCUCCUCACUUUUUGAGGACCAAUUAGCAUUUGCCACUUGUCAAGCUCUCCUUCAAUAUGGCCCAACCACCAUGACAUCACAUGAUGUCAUACUCCACUAUCCCAAAUCUUCCAUAACCUUUCUCCAAUGGGUCCAUUUUAUUUUUCCGCCGGGGUCCCAUUCUUGUACAUCUAAUUUCUUCAAUUCCAAUCAAUUCUCUCCCAAUUGAGUCCAAUUGAAGUCCAUAAAAUUAACCCAAUGUCACCACACUUCAAUUUACAUUUUCACUUGUCCAUAGAACCAACUUAAGUCCCAAAAGCGCGACCAAAAUCGGCAUACUAAUUUCUAGAGCCAAAUUAGCCAUUUCUUGAUUAUUUUGCUAAAAAGCUCGGCUUGCAUGAAAAUUCUUCCAAAGAUGAUUCAAUGAUCUUGAAAUGAUUUGUGACACACCCAGACUUCAAAUUUCUGAAUUCGAUCUCAAUUCCACGGUUAAUUUCACUUUGGCACGAUACUAGCGCGGCUCAACCUACCGGGUAGCCUUUAGAAACUUUCAUGCAUUUGACCUGUGGUUGAUCAUCUCAAGCCACAAUGUACAUCUUUGAAACAUUGGCGACUUUCGAUUGUCGGGGUAAUCUCAAGGUUUCAAAUACGAACACAGGGUACCCAAUCGAUAGAAAAGUCGGUCCAGUGCUGAUUGACAAGAAUUGUGUGAUCUGGUGGAAUCACCCACACCUGAUCACAUGCCUCUGUCGAGUCGUCAUAUCUCCGAUCUCUAAUCGAUCUUUAAUUGUGCCGUAAUGACCCUUGCAGAUUAGCUCGGUCGAAAGAUCGCUUCCUGGCCAAAUUCUCGAGUCGAAUGCAUUAGAAACUCUUAACAGCUUCACCCGAUAGACUAGCUUUCACAUGAGUGGCCGACUCAAGGAAAAGAACUAUAUGCGUGCCAACGAAAUGCCCGUCUCAAUUUAUUGAAAAUAGAAUCGGAAAAUCGGGAUGUCACAGUGAACACUGUUACAAUAGUUGAGAAUGAAUAGUUCUAGUCUAGAUGGAAUCCAUGAAGUGAAUAUGACAUGACAGAUUAAACAGAAUCCCAUAGAACCAUAUCCCAUUUAGAGUCCCACCUAUAGUCAAUGCAAUUCAAACUAGGGGUGUGCAACCGAACCGGGUCAACCCGGUUCCCGGUUCGGCCCACCCGGAAAACAGGGUCGGGAACCGGUUCCGAUUGAAACCGGUCCGGGAACUGGUUCCAACAACUCAAACCCUGUUUGAAUCAGUCCGGGAAUCGGUUCCGAGGGAUUACCCACCCGGGAACCGGUUCGACCAGACCGGUUUUGGAACCAGUUGGAGAACCGAUUAAGCCACCCAAAAAAAAAAAACCACGUAACCCUAAUUUCUAUCUUUACCUCUCUCUCACAAGUCUCACCCCCUUCGCAAAGCUGCUGCUCCUUCUCCGCUGCUGCUCCUUCUCCGCCUAAGCCCCAUCCUUUGCGAAGCUGGGCGCCACCACCGCUGCUUCUCCGCCUGAGCCCCAACCCUUCGCGAAGCUGCUGCUGCUUCUCCACAUGAGCCCCGUCCCUUCGCGAAGCUGCUGUUGCUUCUCCGCCUGAGCCUCGUCCUUCGCGAAGCUGGGCGCCACCGCCAGAAGCUGAGCCCCUGCUUCUGCCCAUCCUCAACCCGUUCAUCCGAGCCUCUGCUUCUGCCUUGCAGCAACUCCAGCGUCGCCCGCGCCACCGCCAGAAGCCGAGCCCCUGCUUCUGCCCGUCCUCAACCCGUUCGUCCGAGCCCCCUGCUCACCCAUGAGAUCUGCAGCCGAGCCCCUGCUUCUGCCCUGUAGCAACUCCAGCGUUGCCCGCCUGUCUUCUGUCCUCACCCACGAGUCUACUUCUGUCCUCAGCGUCGCCCGCCCGCCCGCCUUCUGUCCGCAACCUGCAGCCGAGACUCCUCCACCGACACCUGCACCCGCAGUCGCACUUCUGCUCGCCCGUGCCUCCCUCUGCCCGAGCGCUGAUCCCAAUUCCAUCCGACGCCGCCUCUGCUACUCUCGUCGCACCCCUCGCGCUCGCACCACCGCCUCACGGUAAUAAUUUGACUGAGCUGAGCAAGUUCAAUGUUUCCUUUAAUACAUUGAUAUCAUUUUUUUUAACGACCGUCCUUGUCUAUGUGUCAAGAGUUAAUGGCUUAUUAAGAAGUGUUAACCAAGGAAGGGCAUUCCUUUGUCUAUCUAGUUGAAUUUUUCCGGUAACAAGCUAGCAUCUUAAAAUAAUAUAGAGAAGGGGCAAGAAGAUGUAUGAAAAUGGCCUCAUCCUUGUCUAAAACAUGUUCAAGUCUUGUUGGAAUAGCAUAAUGAAUGCUGGCGAAUUGCUUCAUUUCUGAGUUAAUUGGUACAUGGUUGAACUAUUACUUGUUAUUCAUUCCUCAAUGAUGAAAUAACUGCUAUUGUCAUUAUCCAUCUUUCUUUUUUAUUUGUGUGAUUCUUGCAAAAAAGUCACUAGUGAGUUUUUUCUGCGGUCCACACAUCAGAAAACAAUAAAGAAACAAAAGCAAAUGCAUCAGCAACUUGAAGAGGCCAUUGCAGUACAUUCUCAUUUUCUCUUUCAUCAAUAUAUGAGAAUUGAAUACUACAUUCGACACAAGCACCAAUAUGGUUGCUUGGCAGGUUGCACGUGUUUUAUAUCUGGGUGUGGUGAUGCUCUUCCAUUUGAUAAACAUCUCUGUUCAGAGAAUAUACAGUGAUCCAGCUAUGAGUUACAUGUCAUUGUUUGCUACUGAGAGCUUUAGUGCUGUGAAAAUCCCUUGUUUCCUUUUCCAUGAUGUCUCUUGCAUGUACAUUACUUUAAUUUCACAUAGAAAAGAUGAAGAUGACAACAUUCUUGCUAACUGUUCACCAUCUGUUGGGUGGUUUCCUUGUUGGGUUAUUUAUCUGAGGUGUUUGUUAGAGGUGGCAUAGACUAUAAACUUUACUCAUUUGCUAAAUGUCUAUUAAAUUUAACAGCUUGGGGGCCAUCAUUCCAAGGAAGACUUUGCAGUGAGAGGCAAAGAGCCCAAAGAUGAGGUUCAGAUUUAUACGUGGAAAGAUGCUACUUUGCGCGAGUUGACGGACUUGGUAUGUGUUGUUGCAUAGUAAUUUAAUUAUGAAUUAAGAUGAUUGGUAACUUUUGACGUCAUAAAACAUGACUCAAACGCAACAGAAAUAAAAAAAAUUAAAUGGGAACUCAACGAAAACAGAAGAAUAGAAUUACAUGACAUUAAUUAGUGGCUUCAUUGGUGAUCUGCAAAUUUUGCAUAAUCUUAGUUGUCUUACACAAGAGAAAGUAUCCAUCUUUUUCCAGUCAAUAAAUUUUACAUAAUCUUAGUUCUCUUUGGAAUGUCAGUGAGAAAGGAACUUGAUGUCGUUGAUGCUCGUGUUUUGCCACCACCAAUGGUAAGUUAUUGCACAUCUUUCUUGUGAGAAAACGAAUGCCUCAAGUUGUUGCAUUCUAUUUUUUUCUGGUUUUAGCAGUUGAUGUAUGCCAUUGUUGGCAUUGUUGCAGCUUAAAUAUCAUGGAAGUGGUCGAGAUGCGAUGAUUGGUCUGUUGAUGGGGCAGUGGAAUACGAUCAAUUCUUCUUUUUGCCUUUUCUUUACAGCAAAUGAUCAAUGGAGGUAGAGUGGAUACCUGUGAUGUGAUGAAAUACUCUUUCUUUUCCUUUUCUAGUGAUGUUAUGAGGUACAAAUUAUUUGCUACAACAGUAGAUGUGCUUAUGCUGAUCGAUAUGAGUGUUAAACGCUUUAUUUUAAAUAUGAGUGCUGUACAUUAAUUUUUGCAAAACAGGUUCCAAUAUAAAUGGGGUUGACCCUGUUCCCGAAUCGGAAAAACAUGGUGGGUCGGGAACAGGGUCUAAUGUAAACAGGGUCGGGAACAGGGUCCAAAAAAAGAGAACCGGUUAUAACAAGAUCGGGAAUAGGGUCUAGGUCUACACCCUACCCACCCUGGACCCGAUCACCCCUAAUUCAAACAUCAAAGACAUGAUUAAUUAUAAUAUUGCAAAUUCAAGAAUGCAGCACGUACCAACGAGUAACAACACAUUCAGUCAUCAAAUCCGUUUCAAAUAUGGUCUUAGCUAACCUAAAGUCUCCAAUUUUAAGGUCACAAUUUGCAUUCAGAAACAAGUUGCUCGGCUUCUAAUCGACACAGGACUCAUAUCGACAAUCUCGAAUCAUCACUCAAAGACAGAAAAAGAAACAGCACAUUCAGAUUAUAUCGGCAUCAAGUUUUAAACAAGCAAACAUGAAGACGAUGAAGUAACUGAUCAGGACAUAAGGAUCAUUAAUGGUAAAACCUAAUCGAUGUAAAGAACCCACUGAUCAAUCAGACCAGGACUUCAUUGACACAGGCUUCACACAAGCAUCAAUGACAACUGGAAUCAGACAUAUGAAAAUAGUAAUAGUAACCUGAUCAACUUCCAGUCCAUAAUGCUCGACAAUCACUUCUAACAAUGUCUGCCAACCAGAUUCAGAAUGAUACCUUGUUUGUGAAACUUUGAUGCUUGAUCGAAUGAUCUAGUCUUCGUGAACACCAGUAGAUCUACUCUUUGGUUCUGCCCUCGGAGUCGAGUUGAGACCUCCAAACUCGGCGCAGGUCUGAAUCCCUGCACCUCGAGCUCUGGAAGGACGCGAUCCGCGACGAGAGCGUCAGAUUCAACCGAGAGCAAGAUCACCAGAGAGAGCGAUCAAGAGGGAGAAGUCAGAAUCCAUGACCCAAACGGAUUCAAAGAGAGAACAAAAAUCAAAACCCUAACGGAUCAAGAGAGAGAGAGAGCUCACGUGCGAUCCUCGACCGUCGGUCUUCAAUUGAUCGAGCGAACGAGCAAGAGCUCGAACCAAAACAGAGAGAUCGAAAAAACAGAACGAGAAGACGAUCGGAAGCAGUUGCCGUCGCUGUCGAAUCUGCUGUUGAUCGUCGUCACUAAGGCUCGAGAAGGCAAGAGCGUCGGAACCGAGAGAUCCAACGAAAACCGAAGAAAAUCUUAGCAAAAACAGAGCUUCCGAUCUCCAAAUCCCGGAAGCGAUUGAUCAAGAGAUUGUCAGAGAUUCUCCAAUCACACCAAUGGAAGAAAACCCUAACUGAUCGAGCCUCCUGUCACCACUGAUGUUGUUGUUGUCGUUUUCAUCGCCGCCGACGAUAGCCCCGAUCGACUCGAAUCACGCGCAAGGCGGGGGAAGGAGCGAUAGCAAUCGAUCAAUCUUCUUCUCCCGUUCCGCUUUUCUGUUUCCACCCCCCCCCCCCCCCGAUCUCUUCCCGAAUUACUAGCUUCCUAUCUAGAGAGAGAGACCCUGACUACAGAGAGUCUUUCCCCUGUUUUUCAGAGAGUGCCCGUUCUUUUUUUUUUUCGAGAGAAACCGUUCAGCCCCUUUUUUCAGAGAGAGAACUCGUGAGAGAGAAUUCGCGCGCCAAAAAAAAUCAGCGGGCCCCGUCUACAUUUUCCCUUUUUCUUUUUGUUUUCUCAUUUUUUUUUCGUUUUCUUUACAUUUUUUUAAUGUUUUCAUUUCAAUUUUUUUUCUCUUUUUUUUUAUAUUUUUGUAAAAAAUAUUUAUUUAAAAUAUCGACAAAAAAUUUCAAGUGUCAACAAUGUUAGAUAGGGCACUCUGUACUAUGAACUAGAGAGUGCAACAUCCCAAUGCACAAGCCUUUGCUCUACCAGCCAUCGGCUCAGAUCAUAUCCCGAUUAUCCUAUCCCUCUAUCAAAUAGGCAGGAAAUUCCAGCAACAGUUCAGGUUUCAAAGACCCUGAUUUUGAGCAAAUCAUGCAGUGGGUAUGGAAUGUAUAUAGCCCUGCUACUACCAGUUUUCUUCAAAAACUACAGCGACUGAAAGCAGAUUUACACAAAUGAAGUAGGGGAAAAUUCCAGAAUGCCCAAAAAUAUAUUAACUCCCUCAAAUUUCGUCUUAUGGAACUAACAAACAGUACCACUGGAGAACACUACAAAGAGGAAACCAACAGCAUAACUCAGAAGGUUGAAGUGUUAUGGAGGUAGGAAGAGAUAUAUUGGUAUAUGAAAUCAAGAAUUGAAUGGCUAAAAUGGGGCAAUCACAAUACUAAGUAUUUUCAUGCAACCACCAUUCAACGACGACAUCGAAACAAAAUCUCUAUACUUUGGCUAGAUGAUCAUACCUGGUGUAGGGAUCCUGAAACCAUCACUCAUCACAUUAUCAGCUUUUAUCAAUCUUUAUUCACUUCUGUUGGCGACCGGAAUUAUCAACCUGUAUUGGAUUAGUGUCAAGUUGUGGUAAUUGAUGAGAUAAAUGCAGAUUUAAUCAAGCCAGCUACUCAAGAAGAAAUUAGAGCUGCAGUUUUUCAGCUAGGGGCCUCUAAGGCAUCGGGCCCGAAUGAUUUAACUGGCUUAUUCUAUCAAAGUCAGUGGCCCAUCAUCAAUGGCGAUCUCUUUAACAUGGUAAACUCUUUCCUCAGCCUAGGUAUAUUUGAACCAGCAAUAAACAAAACCCAUAUUACCCUCGUCCCUAAAGUUUCUAACCCAGAAAACAUCACCCAAUUCAGACCCAUUGGCCUCUGCAAUUUCAAUUACAAAAUCAUUGCCAAAGUAUUAGCUAACCGGCUUAAACCAUGGCUGCCAAUGCUCAUUGCAAAAAAACAAAUAGCUUUUAUGAGCAACAAGCUGAUCAAAGACAACAUCUUUAUUGUUCAAAAUGUGAUCCAUCAAUUAAGGGUGAGGAAAAGGACCCGCAAACAUCAAGUUAUUCUCAAAUUAGAUAUGCAAAAAGCAUAUGAUAGAGUGGAAUAAGAUUUUCUUUGUGAUUACAUGCUAAAGUUGGGCUUCCAUGCGAGAUGGGUUCAAUGGAUUAAAAUAUGUAUCUCUUCAGUAUCUUUUAAUAUCUUGAUUAAUGGUGAGCCAUCGGCUGAGUUUAAACCUACUAGAGGCAUCAGACAAGGGAAUCCCCUUUCACCCUAUCUCUUUAUUAUCAUGACAAAUAUCAUCUCCGCCCUAAUGCGCAAAGCUGUUCAAGAUGAAACUAUUAAAGGUAUUCGGUUAAAUCCUACUUGUCCAACUCUAUCUCAUUUCCUAUUUGCAGAUGAUGCCAUUUUAUUCCUAGAUGGCACAAUCCGAGAAGCUCAUAAUGUUUCUAAUGUACUGAAUCAGUAUUGCUACGUGACGGGCCAAGCGAUAAACCUCAACAAAUCUGGGCUUUUUGUUGGGAAGAGCUGCCCUCCUCAUCUCAAAUAGAAUCUAGCUUCAGAAUUGAGAGUUGCUAUCACUGAACAUUUAGGAAAGUAUCUCGGUAUUCCAGCUGAUUGGGGGAAAACAAAAAAGCAAAUGUUUGUUUGGAUGUUGACAAGGGUAGAAAGGAAAUUGGAAUGGUGGAAAGAGAAGCUAAUCUCAAAAGCUGAUAAAGAAAAUCCUUAUUAAAACAGUCAUUCAGGUCAUUCCUCAGUAUGUGCUGUCUAUAUUUAAAAUUCCAACUUCUAUAUGUCGAACCAUAGAGAAAAGAAUAGCUUCCUUUUGGUGGAAACAACAUGCUGAAAAAAGAGGUGUCCAUUGGAAAAAGUGGGAAGAAUUGAAAAUCAAGAAGGAUAAUGAUGGUUUGGGUUUCAAAGAUCUUCAAGAUUUUAACUUAGCCAUGCUGGGAAAACAAGCAUGGAGGAUUAUCAAUCAACCAAGUGCCUUAUGGUGCAAAGUGCUGAAAAGCAUCUACUUUCCUAGAAGUGAUUUUUGGGCAGCAAAAAAAGGCAAUCAACCAUCAUCGGGCCGGCAGAGUAUUUUACAAGGGAGAGAAGUAAUUGAACCAGCUACCAGGUGGGAGAUUGGGGAUGGGAAAAUGAUCAAAAUUCGUGAAGAUUUAUGGUUGCCUACUGGAAGACUCAUUAGUCCAACUAAUAAGGAAGAACCACGAUUAGUGGCUGAUCUAAUAGAAAGCAACAAAAAGUGGAAUGUAAACAGAGUUACAAUCCUGUUUCAGGAAGAUAUAGCUAACGAGAUACUAACUCAAUCCCUCUACCUUCAUUCUAGACCAGACAAACUUAUAUGGACUACAAACAAAUCAGGCAUCUACACUAUCAAAAGCGGAUACAAUCGCAUACACAGCUCAGCCACGCAUCCAAACAACCAACAACCCUCCCCAUCAUACCAAACACCAAAGUCGCUCUGGCCUACAAUAUGGAAACUUCCUACAUUCCCAAAAAUCCGAUUCAUAAUCUGGAAUAUACGUAACAAUUCACUCCCAACCAAAGAAAAUCUUCAUCGAAGGAAAAUGAUACCUUAUCCGUUGUGCCAGAUUUGCGGCCAAGCCCCAGAAACCAUGGAGCACCUCUUCAUCAUCUGUGGUUGGACAAAAACCGUAUGGUUAGACCCUCAAAAUCAAGCCGACACAAACCUAGAACACAUAACGAGAAUAGACAAGUGGAUUUUUUAGAAUCUUACCACCAGAAUUGAUGACAGAUCAAAAGCCCUCUUCGCAGCUCUUCUGUGGAACAUCUAGCUGACUUGCAAUGCUGCGAUCUUCAAGGGAAUCAAGCCGACUCCCUCUCGCACCCAAGAAAACGCCCGGAUUACAACAGAUAUGCACCUAAAAUGGGGAAAUAGGGGAAGAAACCAUCAAAUAGCACAGCACCAGACAAAACCAGCUGCGAAACCUGGAAACCCCCUGACCUAUUUUCAUUGAAGUUCAACGUUGAUGCUGCUUGGAGUAGCUCGAACCAGACAGGAUCCGUGGCAGGGGUAUGCCGGACUACUGAUGGUCGCCUCGUCGCGGGCUUCGCCGAGUCGAUUUAUGCUCCAUCAGCCAUGAUCGCGGAAACCCUAGCUCUAUGUAGGGCUUUGCAAUGGGUAAAGGAGAUGAGAAGCAACCAAACCGAACGAACUGAAGCCCCUCAAGUCUACAACACUCUUGAUCUUCCACUCCAUGUAUCAACAAACAGCUUAUCACUUAUUGAUAGCAUCAUGGGCCGCGAAGACCCCCCUGGCAAGCCCAACCUUUCAUUAUGGAUUGCAAGCUUCUUGCAGCCCAAAUUGGUGAUAUCUCCAUUCAAUACGAGCCCAGGAAGACCAAUAUGGCAGCGGAUUGGGUCGCAAUUGCACAUCGAUCAAACACCCUUCCUAGUAAUUGGGUUAAUUAUCCUCCUAUGCCUUUUUUUUCAAUAUUAUGUCUAGAUAUACCAGCUUAUAGUGCCCAUUUUACGGGCUAGUAAUGAAUAUCAACCAUCUUCUGACAAAAAAAAAAAAAAAAGAAGCUUCCACAUGAUUAAUUGUUGAAAUACGAUGGCAAAUAUUGGAUUGCCACCCAAAUAAAACUGGCAACAAAUGAAAACAUUUAAAAUAUUGUAAGAAGCAUCAAGGGAGCACACAGUUGAAAAAGUGGCUUAACGCCCAAGCACCCAGUCAUAGAAUUUGUGUCAAUAAACGAGGAAACGUAGAGCUCAAUCAAGGCAGUUACAAAGGCAGUUACAGAGGAAAUGGGCGAGUUCGUUACAAAGGAAAUGGGACGUGCCUAAAGUUUGAAGCAAUUAACAGAAGACAGACAACCAUUCAGCAAUUUCCAAAUUUCUUUAUAAAUAUCCCACUAGUCCAACGAAAAAGCCCCUCAAGAAGAAUACAUCAAAUGUUAUCUCAUUAUUUAUGCAUUAUCUUAGUUUUCUUUAGCAGUAGCUUUUAGAUUCUCGUCAUCGAUUAGAUUCGAGGAGUGUCUAUAUACUGGUGCGGCAUCGUUAAUUAAAUUACAACAUCAUAUCUCUAGCGUAGCGUCGUCAAUUAGAUAGAUUCUGGCAAGUUUCUAUAUACCGAUGCGGCAUCGUUAAUUAAAUUCCAACAUUAUAUCUCUAGCGCAACUUUAUUGAUUAGAUUCCAAUGUGGUGUCUUCAAUCCAGUCAUAUUAUCGUUGAUUAAAUUUUGGCAUUGUGUCGUAUUAUCUUGGAGUUGUGCCGUCGAUUGGAUUCUAGCAUAGUUUGAGUUGGGUCCUAAAGUUAGUAGAUCAAUUGGUAAGGUUUUACAGUAUUGUUCGAAAUUGGAAAUUCAAUAUCUAUAUUGCAUUUGAUAUCCUCUAUUCGGAAUUAGGAUAGAACCUUUGUUCUUGUUAAAUAAAAGCCGAGACUAACAUUCGGUGAAAAAAAAAUUGUUGAGGGAUCAAAACCGGCAAAACAAUUGUUAAAUACCAACAAUUAACGAGACCUUACAAUAAAAGCUGAAAUGAAAACAAGGCUCAAUGAACAUUAGACAUUACGUGUCACAUAUGACACUACCAUAUUUAAUAUUCACGGAUGUCAAGUUAUUAAGAGCACCCCCAAAUUAAAUGGAGAACGAGCAAAACAAAUUAUCGGUUUCAACUAGGAGACUUACCAAUUAAGAGGAGAAUGAACAAAGAAACCCCACAUAACCUAAAUUUCUCACUAUAUAUGCAUCCUUGUCAAAAGGUUAUUUUCCAAUGGAGAUUUAGGUGGAAUUGGCCUGGCUUUUUAUCACACUUGUUCUUGCUAUGAAUAAGAAAGGAUUUACAAGGACUAAGUUUUCUGUGACUAGUGAUAAGAUGUAUCGUUCUGUGCCAUUACAAGAGUUCGGCCUUGAGACGUUUCCUUUUGUAUGUUUUGUAGCCUGGACAUCAUGUUAGCAGAUCUCCAUCUGCCGUAAGAGUUCACCAACUUCUCUCUUCCCCUUAUUACAUAAUAUUAAGCUGCAAUUCUUGGAUUUUAGGUUUCUUCAAACCUCUUACGGGUGAGGCCCCUAUCAAUUCUUGGAUUUUUCCUUUUCCAGUUGUUAAUAAUAGCCAAAAUAAACAAUCUUUGUGCUUGAAUGUCCGGUCAUCGAAUAGUAAAAUAAGUCCCAUAAAUUAUGGGAACCCCGAUGCUUUCAUCUCCUGCACGCUUCCGGACCCGACUGGGCUCCUCCCUAUCGACACGCGACUGGGUUCUCCUCCCUGUCGACACGGCCCGCGGCCCAUCUGACCAAUGUUCGGAACUCAUCGGGCUACUGAUAAUUUGUACUAAGAAUUGGAGGGGUACGCCGGGCCAAGGCAGCAGUGCAACACCGAGGCGACGCGCGAGAGACCCAAUAGCAAGCUACCGUGAUGUUCUCUCCCCCUAAAGAAAUUAAUUUAAUAUCAUGUGGACCGAUGGCCCACGUAUCAGAUAUUAAACUGAUAAGAACAGAUACUACACUUGAUCUUAGCCAAAAGGCCGAGAAAGGUAUGCUUUGGCCCGUCUCAUUCUUGGCAUCUUAUACUAGGCAUCCCAAUUAUCAGCCUCUUCUAUAAUCUGAUGUGGGAUUGAUGAAAGCUCUUCAUUAUUGUCAGCACACUCACUGCACACCUCUGUUCUCAGGUUGGGGGGUUGUGUUUCUUCGCGCACUUGAUCAAAAGCAGAACAAGAAAAUUUGCGAAGGAGAUUGUGGGGAACGCACUCAUCGAGCCGGGUUUCUUACUCCUCCAGAAUUAAAGUUCUCCUCCUGAUCAAGCCUAAUUGUCUUUUACUGAUCUCAUACUCAUAGGAUUGGAUAAAAGCGGACGGCCUUUGGAAUUUUGAUCAAAUUAUUUACAAUAUCUUUGGAGGAAAAAACAAUAAGCAAAGAACUAUUUUGAUCAAAUUAUUUACACUAUCUUUCAAAAGAAAGUUCUUCUAUUUUUGUCUCCAGUUUAAAUUGUUUUUCUCAUCAAUUAGUUUUUGUCAAAUGCUAUUUUCAAAUCCAAUCACCACCCAUUACUUAAAAAAAAAAAAAAAAAAAAACAACUCAUACUCCUUUAAAAAAACAUGCAUAAAGUGACUUGGUGCUAUUGACACCCAAUUUCUUAUAAGGGCUCCUACAUUGUCUUUACUUCUUGUGGAGGUUUCGUAGGUUUUGAUUUCACGAGUGAAACUAUCAACGCCUAAAAAAAUUCAAAAUUUACAAAUAUUAACUAGUGGAAAAUCAUAUGCUAAUUUUCUUUUAACUUAAGGAUUUCUUUCCAUUUUUUGAAUUUUUUGAGGAAAAUAAAAAAGUAAGCAAAAAAACUGUUUUGAUCAAAUCAUUUACACUACCUUUCAAAAGAAAGCUCGUCUUUUCUUUCUCCACUUCAAAUUAUUUUUCUCGUCAAUUAGUUUUUGUCAAAUACUAUUUUCAAAUUCAAUCACCACUCACCACUUAAAAAAAAAAAAAAUACUCAAACUCCUUUAAAAAACACACAUAAAGUUAUUCGGUGCUAUUGACCCUUAAAGUUGGUCAUACUAUCAUGUGCUGGUCAAGAGGGUUGAUACAAGUCAGUCUAAAUCACAUGUAUGUGUCAUUGGGAUAUUAACAUAGUUCAAAGAUUAAGGUUCAAUGAUUGAUAGCAAGUCAAGAAGCUUCCACAUGAUUAAUUGUUGAAAUAUGAUGGCAAAUAUUGGAUUGCCACCCAAAUGAAGCUGGCAGCAAAUUUUGAAUGAAAAUAUUUAAAAUAUUCUAAGAAGCGUCAAGGGAGCACACGGUUGAAAAAGUGUUUAACACCCAAGUACCAGUCAUGGAAUUUGUGUCAAUAAACCAGGAAAUGUAGAGCUCAAUCAAGGCAGUUACAAAGGAAAUGGGCGAGUUUUCACAAAGAAAAAGGGGCGUGCCUAAAGUUGGAAGCAGUUAAUAGAAGAUGGACAAUUGUUCAGCGAAUUUCAAAUUUCUUUAUAAAUAUCCCACUAGUCCAACAAGAAAGCUCCCCAAGAACAAUACAUCAAAUGUUAUCCCAGAGAGGACCCGAGCCGGAUCGCAGCCCCUUCCGCCCCGACAACGCCGCUGCUAUCCCUGUUCUGUCCGCACCUACAGCCUUCCGCCCACGACGCCUUGCCACCAUCUCCGAAGCCAAUAGGUCCCGAACCAAACACGGACCCCCAGCAUAUCCGUUCCUAGCCCCUUUCCGAGCGACACCGCCGCGUUGCACGCCGACCCCUUUGCUGAUGUGACCAAUGAUCACGCCUAUUGCCUCCCCUUGCUGAAGCUCUGAUCAACAGCGACCUGCCGCCCUUAGCGGCUCACUACCACAGUGACUCGUCCCCGAGUCGUGCCAAGUCACAAGCCGCUUUGUUAAAUCUUGUUCGAAAAAUCAAAUUAGGUGGUUUUUUUUAUUUACUUUAUUUUAUUUAUUUUAUUUAUUUUAUUUUAAUACUUUGAUCCUUUGUUUGAAAUAGUCAUCGAUGUAUGAUCGAAAUUCCCGACAUGAAGUAGCCUCUUAAAUUAGGGAUUGACUGUCCUAUUUUCGCGCCUGAAAUCUGACUCACAAUUGUUUGGAAAAUCACCAAUCCGAUGUCACGCGCAAGAUUCAAUUCACGGUUUAUUUAAAAUUGACCAACCUGAUAUCAUGCGUGAGAUAUAUUUCGUCAAUUUUUUUUAUAUCAAUCUUAUCUUUACUAUGAUUUGACGUUGUGUGGUUUAAGUCGAUUUUGUUUUUGUGAAAAGGAAAAAUCCAAAAAAAUAUUUGAAUUAGGAUUAGGUUCAUUUUAGAAUAUUCUUCAUCUUAGGGUUAUCUUGCAUAUUUAGAAUAGGAGUUUAUUUCAAUUUUUUUUUGAAAAAAUAAAAAUCCAAAAAAAAAAAAUGCAUUCAUUUAGGAUGUUAGUUUUUUUGAAUUGCAUGUUUAAUUAUUUGGCAAUUCUAAUUUCGAAUUUUAUAAAAAAACACACAAAAAAAAAAACACACACACACACACACACACACACACAAAUCAUCAUGCAUAUGUCAUGUAGAAUUAGGGCAUUCUUUGUACGUCAUUACAUAUUAGGAUAAGAUUGCAUGUUUAAUGUUAAGUUUUGAUAAAUCUUUUAGAUAUAUUGCAUUUUAGGUUAGAGAUUAUCAAGUUAAGAUAAUAUCCUAGUUUAAAUUAAGAUUUGGCCUAACCCAAUUCUUAAUAUAAGUUGGAUAGAAUCUUAAUCUAACUAGGUAAUUUUCGAAUUUUUCUAAUUUCGAAUUUCAUGGAAAAUACAAAAAAGAAAUUGUCUUAAAAUAAAUCAAUUUCAUACUUUAGGAUAGACUACAUACUUAUAUUUUAUUUAUGUCAUAUAAUUUAAGUCAUAUUGCCAUGUCAUAUCAUUUCAUGUUAGAUUAGUAGCAUGCAUUGCAUAAAGCAUAAUUCUCAUUAAAUAAGUGAAAGCAAAAAAAAAGUAGUUGUGUGUUAAUUAGAAAUUAUAUUUAGGACUGUCGAUGUGAAUUCUGAUCUAACACUGCAAAUGCUUUCAAUGCCAUGAGGUAAGUCCUACAACUUAUCCAUUGAUUUCUUGGGUGUUAAAUUUGUGGUUUGCACACCCGCAUGAACACCUCAUAUGUAAGAGAUGUAAGUUAAAAUCAAUUCAAGCUGCUUGCAAAACAUGUUUUUUGAAAUAAAAGAGAAAGGUACCGAAAGAGCGUUAGAGAAAUCUAAUGUAAUCAAGUCCUUGAACUCAUAAAAAAUUUCUGGUUCGUAGAAGUAAAGUAAAUCUCCCGUUACUUUACUUGAGUUUCUAAUCGACCCACUAAAAAUAUAUUAGUGGCGACUUCUAAUUGAAAAAUCAAUUGCGUGUUAAGAACUUGAAUUUAAGUCGCGAAUUGGUAUGAGCUUGAGAGAGCCGAGCUAAGUUUAGAUUUAGUAAUCCAUUAGCCAAAUCCUAAGUGAUUCACCCAAAAAUUUGGUCACUACAGACAGCCUACAUUACCUACCAAUUGUUAGAACUAGACAUGUUCACCAAAAAUCAAAGUGGAGCUAUGCACGUCGUCUUGAGACUACAACUGCUCUCCUCAGGAAAACGCAAUGGACAUGAGCUCAAACCUUAAGGCUUCAUUUGUUUGAAAUGAAUUAUUUGAAAAAUAUUUCCUAAAAAAUGAUUGCUUUUUAUCGCUUAAAAUAAUUAAUUGAUAAAAAAAUAAUUAAUAUUUUUUUUCAUUCAUUUUCGUAAGCGAUACAAAUGAUUACUUUUAGAAAAAUGUUAUUUGCAUAAUUUAUUUACAUGAAAAAAAUGGAGGCUAAAAUUCAACUAAUUUUUCCACUAACUUUUCAAAUUUCUCAUGCUCCAAUAAUUCAAUUUUGCCAACUUCAUGCAUGAAAUUGUGCCCACUUAGCUUGUUAAGUUAAUGAGAGAUCAAUUAGACAUAAUCUCAAUUAAUCUAACUAAUUUUGUGACUUUACUCAUCAUUUACCCACUCCUUGUACGGGAAGUUUGUUGAGAUGCACAUAUGAGUUAUGCUAGAGAAGUCCUAUAUUGGAGAAUUAGUGUGGCGUAAAACAAUUAAUGUAUCCAAGUUUAGCUCAUUGGCUUUAGCUUUUCAGUGAAUAUAGGUUUAACUAGAUAUGUUGACCUGUUCAUAUUUGAGCUUUAUCUUGACAAUCUCCCCAAAUGUUAUGUCUAGAGAAAAAAAUCUGGGGAUGAAGUUGACCAUUGAUGGAGAGAUUCAACUUGAGAUAAAUUGAUACAGAAUGAUAUUUGGAUUAGGAGGAGCGGACCUAACACUAAGCUCACAUGUGAGAGGAAGACUGUGUUUGUGUGUGGGGCGGUUAAUGUAUCCAAAUUGGGUGAGGAGAUUGCAUUAGUGUGUAAGUGUGUGUCCCAGAGGCAUCUCGCCUCUGCUAUGGACUCCCAACAACACUGAAGAAUAUUUGCUUCACAGAUUAAGGGUAAUAUUUUCUUAAAAAUAAUCUCUUUCUUUUUUCGAUAGAAAUCUACUGAGGAGAGGCAAGUGCUGUAUGAUGAUGAACAAAACGAAAAAAAAAAAAAAGAAGAAGCUAGAAUCAUGUGGCGUUACAUGGGAAGUAUUAUUUCUAGAAGAACAUGGGCUCUUGAUCGGCACAUAAGAGUACAUUGAUAAUUAAAGUUAAAGGAGCAGCUAACAACAUCAAACGCUUACUCCCCGUGGCAUCACAAUCCAAAACAUCACCAAAAAGGCUCUAGAACAACAUCGAAAAAACCAUACGAAUAACAACAGCAUAUCAUAAGUGAAAAAUAGGAAUAGGUGGAGGAGGCAGGCGAGGUCGGACCCGAUGCGAAGCCCUAAGUAGACAGGGCGUGGAGGACGACGGUCUCGACGGUGAGGCCGGGACCAAAUCCGAAGAGCACGCCCCAUUCGAGCCCCUCUCCAGUGGUCUUGAGCCCUUUCUUGAUCGAUUUCUUCCUCAUCUCGUCCAUUAUGAAGAAGACGCAUGCGCUAGACAUGUUGCCAUACUCGGCGAGCACAUACCUGGAAAGCUCAAUCUUCUCGGGCUUGAGCUUCAACUUGGCCUCGACCUGGUCGAGGAUCGCGGGCCCGCCGGGGUGCACUAUGAAGAAGAGCGAGUUCCAGUCGGUGAUGCCCAGUGGGUGGAACGCCUCAGCCAUGUUCUUGUCGAUGUUCUUGGAGACGAGGGCCGGCAAGUCCUUGAGGAGGUGGAUGGUGAGCCCGAUCUCCCGGACGUGCCCAGCAAUGGCCUCCUCGCUGUUUGGGAGGAGAGUCUGGAACGUGGAGACGAUCUCGUACAGGGGCCUCUCGAUCCCCGGGACGGGGUCCGCGCCCACGAUGACCGAGGAGGCGCCGUCGCCGAACAGGGCCUGGCCCACGAGGUUGUCCAGGAAGGCCUCGGAGGGGCCGCGGAAAGUGCAGACGGUGAUCUCGGAGCACACGACGAGGACGCGAGCCCCCUUGUUGUUCUCAGCAAGAUCCUUAGCUAGGCGGAGGACCAGGCCAGCGCCGUAGCAGCCCACCUGGUACAUCAUGUACCGCUUGACGGAGGGGCGGAGGCCGAGGAGCUUGGUGAGCUGGUAGUCGCAGCCCGGCAUGUCGACACCGCUGGUGGUGCAGAACACCAGGUAGGUGAUCUUCGACUUGGGCUGCCCCCAUUCCUUCAGGGCGUUCACCGCCGCCUCCUUCGCCAGCUUCGGCACUUCUGGCACCAGAAUGUCCUGCCGGGCAUCCAAGGAGGGUUCCGUGAAUGAACUCAUGUUCGGGUGCUCUUUCAAUAUCUCCUCCGUCAUGUGCACGUAUCUCCUCUUGAUCGACGACCCCUCACCUGUAACAUACACAACCAAACACAGACCCCAUGUCAAUAACCCCCUGCGACGCCUUUUUUAUAGUCCUCCUUCUCUACGGACCGAUCGAGCUAAUGAUACGCGACGAUGAAAGGCGCAAUCUCUUCAAUGACCCCACAAGUUAUUACCGGAAGAAAACCGAUCCUGGCAUCGGAAACUCCCAUCGAAACUACUGCUGAUUUGCUUUGACUGUCUUUCCUUAAUUUCGCAUCCAAAGCAUGGAUACGCUAGAUGAAGUGAAUCCGGCAAAUUCUCAUGUGAUGAUAAAUGAUGAGGGCACGGAAAAAUUUACGUAUAAAUGAAAGAGCAUCAGGGUAGGCAUGCUUUGAACUAUACAUACAGAUGCGCUUGAACUUCUCUUUCAGCUCGGUCAUGUGCUCGCUGUUGGUGAUCCGAAACAAAUAAUCCGGGUAUGUGCUCUGUUCGAUGACGUUCUUGGGGACCGCCGUUCCGAUGGCGAGGACCGUGGCAGGGCCUUUCGAUUUCUGGGCACGGCAGAAUUCCUCGACGCUCGCCAUCUUUUCUUCUUUUUCCUCCUUGUCAGGGGGUUUCGAGGAAAUGAGAGACGGCGAGGGUGGCCGUCAAGCGGGUCGAGGCGGAGGAGGCGGUGGUGGACUGGUUUGCUUGUGACUCUUCUCGGGGUGGGGUGCACGAGUGAACCUUUGGGAGAGAGUGGGAUUUAUAUAGAAGAGAGGCGGGGAGAUGGUGGUUGGGCCCUCACGUGCGGGCCUCGUGAUAUGGCUUCGGGGGACCUCGCUGUCACGUGACACGCGCGUGCUCGUAAUUCAUGGCAAAUGCCAUCGUCUCUUACUCUGAACAUAAAGUUCAUAAACGGCACAUUACUCAUUGGCAGCUCUACACGCAUGAGCGAGGUCGAGUCAAAUUACUUGCAAGAGCUCCGGCUCGGCUUGUUGUCUAGUCGAGAUGGACUCGCUUAAUUUUGUACUACUCGAGUAUCUUGUAUAGUUGAGCCCGAGCUUGUCAAUAGUCAACUUGAUAGGCUCACGAUUUUAAUUGAGUUUUCGUUAUAUUAUAAAAAUGAGCGAAAUACUUAAAAUUACACUCGAGCUUAUAAAACUCGAGUUACUCAAGCUUUAUUUAUAAGUUGAUUGCAAUUAAAUCCAGUCGGAUCGGAUUCAAGAAUCUAGAUUUUCUAAUUGAAUCAAGCUCGAGUAGGAAAAUUAAUACUCAACCGAGCAUACAUUUUAUACCUUAAUUUCUCUUUCUCGCUAUUUACUCCCCAUUUCGUUAUUGUUUGUAUGCCUAAUCCUAACACUCACAAUAUUUAGACAUCAAUGGGUAGGGUUCUUGAAGAUACAGAGGAAAUGACAAGCGUGGAUAUCACAAACCUUGUCUGUAAUGGCCUUCUCAUAGGGAUUCAGUUGGAGACAAUUUGAGCGUGGGAAACCAAGCAAGAAUGAUGCUGAUAGAGGCAAAAACCUUUCUUAUAUGUGAUGCAUCUUUAUUAAUUGUGUUUAGACGAGAGUUAAUACUGGUUAACAUGAGACUUAUUUCAUUAUUUUGACCUGAUUGCAUUUCAUCGUGCCGCUUCGUACAUAGUCUUUCGGACCUAACAGGAUAAUUAAAUAACGAAACAAGUACCCGGCAGAUCCAUUUUAUUCGAAAGAUAAAUACACCCCAAAGAUCACUACUAAAUGAUGACUAGACAUGACUCAAUCGCUCAAGGCCAUAAAUGCCUUCAUAGCCACUCAGCCAGACAAGGACCCGUACCACCCAAAGCUGGAGCGCACAUGCUUCCUCGAACGCCUUUCCUCGUUUUAUCCCCGCGCGCCAACAAGAUCUGCAUAGUGCUGGAGCGCAACAGUAUGAUCCAUUAAAUUGAUUCCUCCAUAAUAUUGAAAAAAUUAUCUAAAAAAUAUCCUAAAUCAAAUUAUAUUUUAUCAAUUUAAUCAUAAUUUUUUAAUUUUAUCGAUUCAGUAAUAAACAUUCGAUCAAUUUUCACUAGAAAAUAUUGACAUGGACACCAGCAGUGCCACUUAGGACCGCCGAUGCUGACAUGGAUAAAUUUUUAUAAUUUUUUUCUUUUUUUUUCCUUAUUUUCUUUUUGGCUUUUUUUUCUUUUCCUUUUGCCAAUGGCCGGCCACAAGUGACGAUCAGCCACCGACCAUAGCUAGUCGACUAGCCUCGCCCACCAGUGAGGGGAGCCCUUGCCCUCACCCUCGCCCCCGCCCUUGCUAGAUCUAGCCUAGGCAAGGCUGACCCUCACCGGUCCGUGCCUGGGCGAAGACUCCUCUCACCAAGGCUCGCCCUCGCCCAAUUGAGCCUUGCUUGUGGCGAGUGAGGGCAGCUAGUUGACCAUGGCCAGUGGCCAGCCACUAGCAAAAGGAAGACAGCAAAAAAAAAUCAAAAAAUCAAAAAAUCAAAAAUCAAAAUUUAAAAAUCAGAAAAAAUGAAAAUUCAAAAAAAUAUUGAAAUAUUAUUAAAAUUUCUCUACGUUAAUGCCGGCGAUCUUAUUUGGCACUAUCAGCGUUCAUGUUAACAUUUUUUAGUGAAAAUUGAUCGGAUGUACUCAGUUGGCAAGAAGUGAAAAGACUUAUGAUUAAAUUGAUAAAGAUAAAAAAUUUAUAACUUUUUGGACAAUUUUCUCUAAUAAUAUUAUAAGAUGGUGAUAAGUAGACCGACAAUACAUGAUUCAUCGACCAUAUGCAAUCGUUAGCGUUUGUAUCGGUUGCAACUUCUCAAUACGAAGGAAUGGUUAGUGCCAGAUUUUCUCUUGGGUAUGGGAAAAGUGCCAAAUAGAUGCGCAAUUUGUUUAAAUACAAGCAUAUGAAAGCUUACUUACGUCAUUAUUGAAUUUCGCCUUCGCUCUCUAACAGGUCGUUCACUUGUAGGUUUUUAAAAAUUACAACUUUGAUUUCAGUUUUUCAUUAUGUCCCUCCGUCAACUUUUCAGCUGAUGACCUAUCAAAAGCAAACACAAUUUUUCAACAGAAGUAUUAAAAAAAUCAUAAACUUUUUACAUAUGUUUCAAUUUAGUUCUAAACAUUUUUUUAGUGCCAAUUUAAUCCUAAACAUUUUUAUUUUGUGCCGAUACAAUCCUUUUCGGUCAAUUUUGAUUGGAUUUUGCUGACUCGGCACCAACCGGCUGAUGUGACCUGAUCGAUGCUGACGUAUAUAACUUUUAAUAAUAUUUUAAUAUUUUUUUAAAAAAAUCUUUUUCUUUUUCUUUUUUAUUUUUUUCUUCUCUCCUCCUUCCGGCUCGCCGGCCACCUCACUAGUGGCCAUGAGCGCAAGGCCAGCCUAGCUGGCGAGAGUCGAGCCUCACUAGCCCUGUGCGAGGCCGUCCUCAAGGCUUGGGCAACCUCAAGCUUGCAUCACGUUGGAUAGCGAAGGUCGCCCUCACCAGAUCUGGCAAAGGUCAAGCCUCCCCCAUGGCCAACGAGGGCGACCCUCACCACCCAGCGUGAGGCUGCUCUCACGACCACUGGCAAGGUGGCCGACAAGGCUCACCAAUGGCUAGCGAGGUUGACCUCAACCUUGUCAGCCGUCGCCUCUAGCCGAUCGCCGAGGUCUGGCGACUAACUAGAGGAAGGAGGAGGAGAAAGAAAAAAGAAAAAGACAAAGAAAAUAAAUAAAAAAUUCUAAAAUAUUAAAAUAUUAUUAAAAUUUAUUAACGUCAAUGCCGAUUAGGCCAUAUUAGCCGACGAGCAUCCAAUCAGCAAAAUUCAGUCAAAAUUGGCAAAAAAAUGACUGAAUUGGCAUAAAGAAAAAAUGUUUAGGACUAAAUUGACAAAAAAAAAAAAGAUUUAUGACUAAAUUAGCACAAAUACAAAAGUUUAUGACUUUUUUAACACUUCUCCCACUUGAGGGUCACUUUAUUCUCACUCCGCUUUCAUGCCAUGCCAUUAAAUUAUUGUUCAGCAUACAUUCGGUUCACUUAGAUUUAUUCUUAACGUUUCAAAGAAAUGCGAAUUUUAAUGGCUUGUUUGCUGGUAAGUAAAUGUUGUGGUCCAUUGAAAGCGAAACUAAAGUUGAGUCACCUUAUUCAAAAUAUUGAAAGUUCAAUAACCUACUUAAAAUUUAAGAGUUAAAUUUUAAUGAUCACGAGAUAAUAAUUUUAGGACAUACAAGAACAAAGAUGUAUGAGUGCAAACUCGUUAUUUUAGAGCCAUCCAAUGAAGGCAAGGGAGUCAAAGGUCAAUGUACCUUCUCAUCCAUGAACUUGGCCCAAAACCGCACAACAGCUCGGUCACACGAAUCUUGAGGCAACAAGAUCAUGGGGCGGUCAUUCCAAGUCUCGUCAACGUGCUCAAUAAUCACUAGUGACUCGGCAAUGGACUCGCCAUUGUGGGCAAGUACAGGUAUCUUCUUGUGGAUUGAGUUCUACUCGGGAAGCAUAGGGCUCUCGGGCAGUUCAUCAAGUCCUCAUCUAUUUACUCGCUCUUGACUCUUUGCAUUUUGAGAGCCAUCUCAACUUGCCAAAGGGGUGAUUGAUUCCCGACAGCUCUCGGCUCCAAAUUUCAGAAUUAGGAACUAGAUCGGACAGUUUAGAACAGGGCAAACUACAGUUGUGCGCAACUUUAUUUUUUUUAUUUUUUUUAUUUUAAAUGGUUUAUUAAUUUAAUCCAAAAAAGUAAUAGAAAGAUAACUCACUACUUUUUUCAGUCUUCGUGGGAUCAAAGAAACAUUUCCCUAGGCAAAUGUGCACAGAGGGAACUGACGCUAUUAGGGAAAUAUUUUUGUGGAUCUACCUUUCCAUGUUAUUAAUAAAGCACCCGCACCUCCCUACCUUUACUUUCUCUCUACUCUCUCUCAUCUACAUUAAGCACCAAACAGUUCCUCCACUGACGAAACUCUUUCAGCUCACUUUCAUCCUUAGGCAGCACAUGAGACUAUUUAUGUUACUUCGGAUUUCUGUUCUUUUAUUCCCGGAACAAAAAAAGAACAGAAAUCUAUUUAAUGAUGCCAAGUUGUUUUUCAGUUCAGCGGAAUAGAAAGUUAGCCCGGGAAUGAACUUGGAGCAGAAACGAUAAACAAAAAAAAAGUUACUUCUUAUUCCCAAAAACAAUUUUUAGAAAUAAGCCCAUUUUCUUUUUUAUUUUUCUUUUGUUCCUCUAUCUUGCCGCGGCCACCUCCAACUACUUGGAGCCAUCGCCAACCUCCGGCCACUGCCACCGCCCACCGCCGCCGUCGCCUGCCGCCCGCUGCCCGUCACCCGCUGCCGCCACACAACCCAUUGGCCACCAGCCGCCGGAGGCAGACGAGCAGUCGGGGGAGGUGGUGGCCAAUGGGCUGUGUGGCGAUGGUCGACAGUCAACGAUCCGCGGUCGUGCAGCGGCAACGGCAAGUGGCAAUGGGCGUCAACGGCUGGCGAUCGACAGUCGGCAAUCUGUGAGCAAAAAUAAAAAACGAAUAAAUACAAAAAAGAAAUUGUUUCGCACUAAACGCAUUUCUAUUCUUUUUCUAUUUCUAGAGUAGAAAUCUUGUGUAGUUACCAAAUAGCCUUAUUUUACUCAGAAAUUGUUCCUCGGAGUAGAAAUAGAAAUGAACUAUUUCUAAAAAAAAAAAAAUCCAGCCAAGAAGCGUUAUCAGUCACACCCUUAGUUUCCACAUGAUGAGCUUUAAUCUCAUCUAGUUUCACUAUAAUGUGAUGGCGGCUGUACAAGACCGUUGUGGUUGUGUGAGAGAGGAAGGUUAGAGCAUCAAUCGCAAUAAAGGGAGGUGAGAAGCUGAGGUCUAAAAGAGAGAAAGAAAUAGGUGUAAUCUUAAUUUAGUGUCACUUUUGACCAAUUCCAUUGAUUCAAUCUAUUGGUCUAGUUCUGCACAAGAAACUGGGAACUGGAUCAGUUAUUCACAAUUCCACAUUUUAGGAACUAGACUAAUUCCAGCGGAAGCCACCCAAAACUGGCUAGUUUGAUUCAAUUUGGGUAGUUGCCAAUUCAAUCCAAUUCUUUUGUUCACCCCUACUUGUCAACCAAAUGGGCUCCCCCAAGCACCUAGAGAAGAAGGGUGAGGACACACACAGCCACCCACUUCUUUCAUGUCUUGAGCAUGAUGGAAAGGAAAUGGUGGAUUUAUAACAGUGCAAGCGAGCCUCUAUACACACGGUCAUUCAUUUCGUACACAUCAACAAUUGUCGGUCAAAAUUGGCCGAAAAAUAUAUAUUGACAAAUUGUUAAAAUAUUAAAAAUUAAAUUAAUCAAAUUGAAAUGUUUAAAAUUGAAUUGGCAUGCGUAUAAUUAUCCCAUCGAAUAGGUUUGCUUGAUUCCACACAUCAUCGAGUGCAAAUUGUCCUAGGGUUAACUUGCUCUAGAUGGGAUUCUCAUCAUAAAAGGAAAAAAAAAAUAACUGAGGGUUCUUGUAUUCAUUUCAUUGAAGAGGAAAUUUCGUUUUGAGGAGGAAAGUUAGGUAAAAGAUUGUACGGUUGGGAGAUUUUUGGGCAAAUCGGAUGAGGCGGAGCCUAACCAACUGAAGCAGAUCUUCAAAAAUUGACAGGUCAUAUCACAUAUAUGCAAUAAAUGCCAAUGCUAUGCAGGCAAAAUAAUCUUUGCUCCGUUACGAUCCCCGUUGGCAUCUUUCUGGUUAGUCAUAGUUUCAUGACCAUUUUCAGAUAGAUUAAUGUUGUCUUUUGACGUCAUAGUCCCGAUAUAAUGAAUGAAAAGGAGUUGAAUUUAUUAUACUUUUUGGGACAGAUGACUACGACACUCCUUGAUCUAAUUAAAUUGAUUACAGCGAUAUGGCUUGCAUAGUUGCUCUUUUAUGAUCCUUUGCUUUUGCUAGACCUAGAGAAUUCAUAAAAUAAAAAAUUGUUAUUUUGAUUCGAUAAACGAAUCUCGUAAUAACAUCAUGGCGUCGUGUUGAAGUAAACAGAGAUUUUUUUUUUUUUUUUAGCCAAAAAUGUCAUGGAUGGACAUGUAGAUUAAAGUUAUGGAAUACUUCAGCUUCUCACGUGCAUACGUCAAAUAUGAGGUUUGGAGAUAUUUGAACCAUUGAUGAUGGACAAGCCAAAGCAUGGUCGGCAGAAGGAUGUACAAAUGCGCUCCGACAAACUGUAGAUGAUGGCAAAAAAGCAAGAAAUUCUUUCCCAUGGACCUUACACAUGAUCGCAUCCGAUCUAUGGACUAGAAGGGGACAAGAUCGAUUUCAGUCAUUUGCCCCUUCCAGAUAAUGCAUGCCCACAGAUUGAUAAGUAGUUAAAUAUCAUGCGUGUAAAGUCGAAAAUGAGUAGAAAAUGAAUGUUUUCUUGCUUCUCUCAGCCGCCAAGCUUGAGUCGUUUUCAUGGCUUUGUCAUCGUAUAUUUGCCCAAAGGAUAGACCAAACCAAUCAAUGAUCAAGCGUCAAUCUAAUGAACACAAAACACGAAAAUAAACACAGUUGAGAGCAAUCAUAUCUGUCAUUCAUUUAUUAAGACCGGAUGUAGUACACAAAUUCAGAGGACACCGGGAUUAUUGCACCACCAAAAAGUUACCCGGCUCUUAACUUCACACAUUAGCGCGAACGCCUUUGAAGAACAAGAUCAAAACAGAAGCAGUUGUCGAAACAUUUACACGAAUCUUUUAAUUUAUCACCCUGCAAUUCUUCCUAAUUUCUCCUUGCGUGCCAGUGAGCACCUCGAUCAAACCCAUGCGCACCAUCGCGGCCGUAAACCUCCGAGCCCAAGCGCUGGGGUGGUUCGCAUUGUCCUUCACUAACCCCCUUGUCAAUGACGCAUCCCACAGCACUUGGUCCGAAUACAACAAUCCCUUGUCACUCUUUAAGUUGUGGUAGUAAGCAUUAUCGAGUACGUUCGGCGUCACCGGAUCGAAUGGUACGAUCGGGUCGGUGGGGCCGUUUCGCGGGCACUUGGUCUUCAAAAGAUGGGCAUAAUUAGGAUUAAGGGAAGGAUCUUGUGAAUAAGUCGAGUUGAAGGAGUAGAGUCGCUUCGUGAAUUGGGAGCAAUGAGAGUCCCCGAUGGAGUGAGCUCCGGAGAGAGUCACCAUGUCUCGGAGCGAAAGCCCUUUCUUCGCAAAGUUCGCUUCGAGUUGCACAGCAUCAAAAAAUGGGCCGGGGAGGUUUUUGAUCACCUCCGACGCGAGCGAGACUCUCCCAUCCCGCCUCCCGCUAGGGACGGCAUAGUGAAAGCCUCCGGCAGCUCGAACACCAUCACGAGCGGCGAAGGCCACAAUGUCGGCACAUGAGACGGUGUUAGGGCAUUGGGCUUCAAUCUUGGCCUUGGCAUCGUCGAUCACCUCAAAGCCCCCGAUGCCGAGGUUUCCCAUGCUAUCUUUCUCCGCGGUGUUCCCUUUGGUCGAGUUGAGAAGAAUGGACCCGUCGCAACCCUGAGUACUAGAAGACCGUACGUCACAACAUAGAAAUAUCCAUUUUUACAUGAUUAUUUUUAAUUAGAUAUAGGAACAUCUAUGACAGAUUUAUUUAGAUAUCCAUUUAGAGUUUGUGACAUCAAUCAUGCAAACCCGACUUCUAAGUUCCUAGGAUUAGUUAUUCAAAUGAAAGCUGGCCCAUGUAUGGGUUUUGCAAAAAAAGUGGAUCAAUAUGCAAAUGUAAUAGACAUCGCAAGAGAAUACUUAAAAGGUGUGUUUAGUUCGAUUUUUGAAAAAUAUUUUUUGGGAAAACGCAUAGACCUUUGGGUUAAAAGGAUUUUUCAAAAUACAAGUACUGUUCGGUAAAGUGUAUUUUAAAAACACGUUGAAAAGCAAUUUUAAUAGAAAUACUGUAUGGUACAAAUUAUACUUUGUAAAUGGUUUUUGCUAAUUUUUUUAUAAAAAAUCUCAAAUUAUUUGUUGGUGGAACUCAGUCACGACCAUUGAGAGUGGUAGUGGCUCACCAACUUGCUCGUUGGUGGCUGAGGCAAAAAUUAGGGCUUUCAAGAACAUUUCCGGAAUUAUGAAAGUUGAGCGAGGGUAAAGUUGGAACGAAAAAUGUCUAUUUGCAUUUUGGAAACAUAAUAUUUUAAAGUAUCUCCAAACUUAAUUUGUGUUAAAUGCCUUUAAAGAGCUUUGAAGGUGCAAAUUGCAUCUCCUCAAAGUACCCAAAAAAUUUUGCCAAACAGUAUUUGCAUUUACCCAAGAAGUUUUGCAACUCGUCAACCAAACACACCUGUAAUGAUGUUGCACAUAAAAUGCUUGAGUUAGAAAAUUACUCUGACAAAACAGUCAUGGAAAUGGAGCCUAAUGAGCGGAGCAACAGCUCCAGGGUCAGCAGCUAGAGCCUUCUGUACUGACUCUCUCACCAUGGCCUCAGCAGAUGGGCAUUUCUUCUGAUAAAACCCAACCUUCAAUGGACCUGAAAUUGGACCCAACCGAAAACAAAAAUUUAUGACCAAGACAAGAAAAUCAACAAUAUAUCAACUCAAACGCACGUGUUGAAACUGCUAGCAUAAGGGAAAAUGAAAUCGGACCUGAAAUUGCAGGUGAAAUUAAACAGAUCACCAAAACAAAGCUCAAGUAAGCGCUCGAGCUUGCCAUUGAUACAGAUCAGCCAAAAAAGGAGCAAUUUCACUCAGAAUCUUAGAACUACAAUGACUAGGGUUCUUCAAGAUAGAGAGGAGAAAAUGUCAAGUGUGGAUGACACGAGCCUUGGCUAUAAUGGCCCUUUUUAUAGCGACCUAGUUGCAGACACUUUGACAGUGGGAAACCAAGGAAGAUGCUCGAAGAGGAAAAGUCCAUUGAAGCUUCGUGUCAUGAGCUGUCUUUCAGAAUUUCAAGAAAAAAAGUACGACAACAUGCACUUAGAUUAGACUUAAAAAGUGGAAGGCGUGUGGCCUCCACAUGACUCCCUUUGCAAAAGCACACGCUUCGUUUAUUUUAUAAGAGGGAAAUGGGAAGCAAAGUUUGAUUUGUGAAGUAAUCUUACAUCUCGUCCCUUGGAUUUUUCUCCUCAAACUUUAUAGAAAAUCGGUUCAUUCUAAUUUUACUCUUCCCAACUUACCUAAAGACGACAAAGGGUACAUUUAUUUAUUCGUUUAUUUAGCUAGUUCAUCGAACAUGUAAGGACAUUUCAGCUUUGUUUAUUAUCGUUUAUAGUGUCAAUUAGUCAAAUUCAACUAGGGGCGAGGAAUGUUAAGAUAGGGGGACAUAUAAUUGACCUUAAUUAUUGCGUGACAUCUAGCUAUGGACCAUGGUUUUAUAUUUUCAAUCCAUUGACUAGAUGUUUCUAGAGACUUAUCAUGCUACUAUUAUUGAAAUCCACUAAUGGUAUGCUUUGAUACCGUCAAUUAAGUGCUGCUGAGGUUUGAUAAUAUCCUUCUACUAGUUGUUGCAGUGAUAACAUGAUGGAAAGUCAAUAGCUCAUCUAGGACAAAAACUAUGGGAGAUUUCAAGUCCACUUCCCAUCAACAUAUCUAAUUGAAUAUAUAUUCACUCAAAAGGUUGAAACAACAAGUUAUUAGUGAACCAAAACAUAUUAAUUAUUCCAUCUUACACCAAAUUCUUGAUAUGGGACUUCUUAAAAUUUAUGCUUAGACAAAGAAUAAAAAGGCAAUCAUGUUUCGCUAAAUAGGAGUAACUUCGAAUUACGACAACACUGCAUUACAAUUUACAGCCCUUGCCCACAGAAAAAUGAAUGUAACUCAGCGUCAAAACUUUUCGGCUGCGAAUGGUGCGAUGGGAAAGUUGACGCAUCUUUGAAGGAAAGGCGUAAUUAAGCUUUGAGAACUUUCCACGCUUUUUCAUUCUUCACGACUGGCUUUCAAGCUUUCCUAACACACGACAAUCCUCCAACCCAAAAGCUUAAUUUAAGCGCAAGUCGCCAAAAUAUUGUAAUGAACGAAGAAUUGGCGAUUGAAGAAUGCGGAAAUAAACUCUGCUGAUGUAUGUGGAGGUUUUCAAUCCAAAUUGUUAAAAGAUUGUAAUUCGAUUAUUCUCAUUUUGUAUUUGUUUGAUCCAUGCUGCUCGUGUUACUGCUUCGACCGCAUAAAUUUGGGAUCGGAGCAGAAAAGAUCGUCGGAGAGCACAGCCAAGUGCUCCGACCACAGCCAAGUUUAGUUGUGACGGCUCUGAAACAUACAAUACAUUACAAUCUCCAAAAUUUGCGUAGAGCUCUUCCGUAAGUACAUUUACAAGGUCAUAUAAAUCAUACAAUCUUGUAAAAAUGUCAAAAUUGUUUCAAAAGCUAACAUCAUUAGCCACUCAUGCCAAACGAAUAUUUUACAGGGAGCCGACAAGGAAUUCCAUUAAUAACUGGCUAUUUUGACCCUUUGGAGGCAAAAGAAAAUGAUAAAUCUCAAACCUUGGUGAAGGGCAUCGCCACCUUUCUUUUUCUAAAGUACAUUUAACAAAUUGGAGACUUCUAUAGGGCAAUCAGCAUCCUCAGAAAACUGAAAAACCUAAUGCUUUUACUGCAUAAAUAUAAAGAGAUAACGACCCUACCGUCCCAGAGUAUGCCAGACGGAUCAUACCCGAUUCAAAAGUAGCCAAAGAUGUGACCAAAGAUGACCGGCAAUUGAAGUUCUGAAGGACAGUUUUGGCCUCUUGUUUGGAGACGAUGCCUCAGCUGACUGCUGCUAUGGCAUGAGGCGAUUGAAUGGCCACUACAGGGUAGCAUCGGCUACAGAGCGUCGGGUGCUCCGGAAAAGAACCGACUUUGGGUGAGUAGUUCCAACAUCUCUCGCAUUUGGAUCCCUCUGCUUUGGAGACACCAAUCCAGACUUUCUUGCCAUUAAUCUCGCACUCUCCAGAGUAAGGAACAUCGGCAGUCAGUUCAUCACCCAGAGACAGAAUUACCUCUGCCUGUAUGUGCAAAAUGUACGUUACUCUGAGUGUGGACGACAGCUCAAGUUCCAUCGGUACAGGGAUAGUGUACUUAUGCACCGUCAGUCAAGCAAUUUUUAUCCCAAAUGAAGCAGAUCAUUUGCCGAUAAAAUGGAAACCAAACACGCAAAUUGUGGCAACUGACCCACAAAUCAUCAAUAUCAGAGUUAAGAUCAACAGAGUAAAGCAUACCUGAGAAGUUAUGAAGAUGCGAUGCAAGUUGUCCGCAUCGUUCGUGGCUGUGCUCAUUUGGCAUAAUAGGGAGGCAAGAUUUACAUCGGAGGUAUGUAAAAGAACUUUAGCCUCUAAGCUCGAACCAAUCAGUUUUCCACCCCGAGCAACUUCCAGAACCUUAUUUACCUCUGUCCUUAGCUGGAGAUUGGAUGCAGAAUAAUAUCAGAGGAAGAACUGAAGAACGUCUAGCUGGACAUCUUAAAACAUAUCCUAUUUGGGGAACUAAUAUUCCUUUCUCUCACUUCAAAAAUUAUUAAUAUUCACACAAACACGUCCUAUUUGGGUAAAACCGAGAUGCUGAUUACCUCAAGAAUUUCUGCCCAAAAAUUGACUUCUUCAGGCAAUAAAGCAAGCCAUUUUUCAUUCCCAGCAGGCCAUCUAGAAUCGAAAACAAAUUUGGCAACAGAACCAUCUUCAUUGGUGUAUGGAAACGGAAGGUUCUGCCAUGCAUCCUCUGCUAAGUGAGGCAAUAUAGGCGCUAUAACCCUCACAAGGGAAAGCAGAUGCUCUGCAAGAACUGUCUGACAACUUCUCCUCGUAAAACUCUCCAUGCCC
rnacentral:lncRNA from 1 species